rnacentral:rRNA from 1 species
CCUACGGGAGGCAGCAGUGAGGAAUAUUGGUCAAUGGCCGAGAGGCUGAACCAGCCAAGUCGCGUGAGGGAAGACGGCCCUACGGGUUGUAAACCUCUUUUGUCGGGGAGCAAAGCGAGUCACGUGUGAGUCAGUGAGAGUACCCGAAGAAAAAGCAUCGGCUAACUCCGUGCCAGCAGCCGCGGUAAUACGGGGGAUGCGAGCGUUAUCCGGAUUGAUUGGGUUAAAGGGGUGUGCAGGCGGUGGUGCAAGUCAGCGGUCAAAUUACGGGGCUCACCCCCGUAUUGCCGUUGAAACUGCAUCCCUUGAGUGCUCGAGAGGUAUGCGGAAUGCGUGGUGUAGCGGUGAAAUGCAUAGAUAUCACGCAGAACUCCGAUUGCGAAGGCAGCAUACCGGCGCGCAACUGACGCUCAUGCACGAAAGCGUGGGUAUCGAACAGGAUUAGAUACCCUUGUAGUC